rnacentral:tRNA from 1 species
GUGGGUAUAGCUCAGCGGUAGAACACGUGCUUAGCAUGUGCAAUGUCCUGGGUUCAAUCUCCAGUACCUCCA